CCAUCCGUUCUUGCCUCUGUCCCACCACGUGCAGGUGAGCCUCCUACAUGGUGCUGCUUUCUAGUCGGCCGUCUUGGCCCCACCCCUAGUUUUGCAUGGCUGGGAGGCCUCAGGAAACUUAAAAUCGUGGCGCAAGGCAAAGGGAAAGCAACGCACCUUCUUCACAAGGCAGCAGGAGGGAGCUGGAGUGAUUUUCUAAGAAUAAUUCUGGCCAAACUUUCAUGCACUCCUGCAGCCAAACUCCGUUUGGAUCUAUUCAGGCAGGAAUCAUAUUUCAGCUCCUUAACUCUCAUAAGUGGAAACUGACACCAACUCAUUAUAAAACCUAAGUGGAAA
rnacentral:antisense_RNA from 1 species